UCAUUUUCAGCCAGAGGGCCUAACCCUGUGUCUCCUGAGAUUUUGAAGCCUGAUGUUAUAGCUCCAGGGUUGAACAUUCUUGCAGCUUGGCCUGAUCAUGUAGGACCUUCUGGGGUUCCCUCUGAUGGGCGUAGGACAGAGUUUAACAUACUCUCUGGGACUUCCAUGGCUUGUCCUCAUGUUUCUGGUUUGGCUGCUUUGUUGAAAGCAGCACAUCCUGAUUGGAGUCCUGCUGCCAUUAGAUCAGCCCUGAUGACCACUGCUUACACUGUGGACAACAAGGGUG
rnacentral:lncRNA from 1 species